rnacentral:rRNA from 1 species
UACGGAGGGUGCAAACGUUGCUCGGAAUUAUUGGGCGUAAAGCGCACGUAGGCGGUCGGCUAUGUCGGAUGUGAAAGUCGGGGGCUCAACCCUCGGAUGCCGGUGGAUACUGUCGGGCUUGAGUACGGAAGAGGCGAGUGGAAUUCCUGGUGUAGCGGUGAAAUGCGCAGAUAUCAGGAGGAACACCAAUUGCGAAGGCAGCUCGCUGGGACGUAACUGACGCUGAGACGCGAAAGCGUGGGGAGCAAACAGG